AGUUAUUGCUCUAUGGGCCCCUGUACUUAUGGUUUAUUUCAUGGACACUCAAAUUUGGUAUUCCAUCUUUUCAACUAUUUGCGGUGGUGUUAUUGGAGCCUUUGAUCGUCUAGGAGAGAUACGCACUCUGACCAUGCUGAGAUCGCGGUUCCAAUCAUUACCUGGUGCAUUCAACGCAUACUUGGUUCCUACUGACAAGAAGCAGAAGAAGAAAUUUUCUUUAUCGAAGCGAUUUGACGAGAUUUCUGCAAGCAGAAGGAGUGAAGCAGCUAAAUUUGCUCAGUUAUGGAAUGAAGUUAUCUGUAGUUUCCGUGAGGAAGAUAUCAUAAGUGAUAGG
rnacentral:sRNA from 1 species